UUAAAUUGAAGAGUUUGAUCAUGGCUCAGAUUGAACGCUGGCGGCAGGCCUAACACAUGCAAGUCGAACGGUAACAGGAAGAAGCUUGCUUCUUUGCUGACGAGUGGCGGACGGG
rnacentral:rRNA from 2 species